CAGAGCCCCGCUUGAUGGCAGGUGCUGGACAAUAACAAUGCUGGGAUCCCCGCCUCUGCUGCCACUUUCCUCACCAGCAUGGAUCCUGCCCUCUCCUUUGUGUCACUCACUAAAGGCUCAAAGUCUGGUUCAAGGUAGAAACAAUUUUACGUGUCUCAGAAAGAACAAAGAGUUUAAGAUGGUGAUGCUGAGAUUCUGGACAAGAUGGACAUGGUGAUCUCUACUGGAAUCCGGGGACUGCUGUACUACGGUCAUAUACUACUGCUGGGGGCCUGGUGUUCCCGGGGUGCACUGGGGGCCUUGCUGUACUGAUAUGGUCAUAUGCUACUGGGGGCCUGCUGUUGCUGAGGUACAUUGUCAGCAGGCCUAGGCAUCGAAAAUGACACAACUGUCUCCUGUUCAGAAGCACUUAGAAUCUCCUGCAUCGUGUAACAAGUGUUUAGAGAUCCCUAGAUCAGGGACUCUGGGGACAGUUUUUAAUUUACUGAUAAGUAAAGUUUUAAAAUGUGACAUCUUUGAGUACUGCUGCCCUAGUCUAUUAAACAAAGAGAAGCAAUUCCCAGGCCAGGAUCAUCCUACUAACCCAAACCUGAUAAUGCUGAUGUGGCCCAGGGCUGGCAGGAUGGCCUGGACUGUAACUAGGCAUCCCCUGCUUCCAUUUGCAGACAUGUGGCUUUGCCCUGAUGGAGACAUAGUGACAGAUCAUUUUGUACUACGUAGGUACAGAUCCAAAGGGCAUCUUAGGCUGGCUGUCAUUAAGUUCCAGUGAGGAACACCUGUCUUCUUCAGUUCCUGUUUCUCCAGUUUGCAUGCAGCCUCAGCCCAUCAGAAGGCAGCGGAUAAGAGUUCCCCCUUGGAUGGCUUUAAGUUGGCAAACAGGGGUAGAAAAGAGGCCAAGCUGCGUGGUGGCAGGCACCUGUAAUCCCA
rnacentral:lncRNA from 1 species